GCCAAGAUCGCGCCAUUGCACUCCAGCCUGGGCAACAGAGUGAGAUUCUGUCUCAGAAAAAAAAAAAUGAAAUCUAUAAGACAAUUUAGAGAGGAUAAUCAGAAAGCCACAGCAUUCCACACAAAUUCAGUAGUUUAGACAAGUGUUUAAAGGGAAAAUGCAGGAAUUAGGUUACUUCCUUAAAAAAACGUGAAUACUUCCAAAAGAGUGUUGGGAAAGAAGUAAAAACUAAAGUAUUUCUAUUAAUUUUUAGGAAAUAUAAAAAACCAUACUGGACUUCCUCUCGCCCAUUCAGUUGAAAUUUAGAAAUAGUAAUUCUAUAACAGUGCUUGAAAUUUUUAAAGUACCAUUCCAGAAGCUAAGAACAAAUUUAGAUACUGAGAUACCACCAGCUUUUCAUGUAGGCAGCUGUGUUCCAGAACUUGUAGAACUUAGGCACAGAUAGCACAAGGUAGCAAAAAUAGCUCAUAUGAAAAAAUAGUAGAUAUGUAAUGAUACAUGAAAUUAUACUAAAUUCUACAUUAUUGCUAUUUUCUUUCCCUCCCAUUAGAACAUUAAUAUGUUCUAAUUCUAUUAAUAUAAAAUAUUAAUAGAAUUAGUUAAUGUAACAUUAAUAUAUUUUCUCUCUUAAUAAAACAUUAAGCCCCAGUGACUGGUCAUCUUCAUUAAAUUAGCUGUACCUCCUUACUGCUGCGAUGGCUAGCACGGCUACUGCCAACUUAGAAAGGGACAAAAAGUCACGUGGUUGACCUUAAUGACAAGAAAAGUCACAGAUUCACUUCUAAUUUAUAAUUCUCAGAAUUAAUGUGCAAUUUUGAGUUGUCUCCAUUAAAUCUCUUGAACAGAAUCAUCAUUUUGCUCCACAUUCGGUUUCUGUGUGUUUCCAUCCUAAUGCCUGAGCAACAGGGUGGUGGUGCUGAUUGGAAGCUAACUUGCAUUCUCCGUGAGGAACACUGGAAGGGCAGAGCAGGCCACCAGGAUCCUGUUUUCAUGCAGCUCCUAAAUAUUGUGGGAACCAGUGAUGGGUCUUUGGCAAUUGUGGGCAGCCGCCCGGGCUACAAGAAUAGGGAGCUUGAACAAAGGUGGAGAUGUCCUGAAGCUGGAGAGAGGCUCAAACUACUUAAACUUUCUGCAACAUCGGCAUCUGAUAAUCUGAAUCCCUGCCUGAAUCAGCAGUAGAAACAACCAUCAUUAGGACUCUUGUUUACUCUGGAAGAACUGAUAAGGUUAAAAAAAAAAAAAAAAAAAAA